AUAGAUGCGAGGCUGAGGGCCCGCUGACCGCUGUCGGCGCCAGGGGCGGCUUGGCUUGGCUGGAGCUGAGAGACACCCAGACACGCCAUUGUGCAGAGUUGGGUGACACCUUCCUGUGCUAGAAGCAGAAUACAUAAGCUCCAUGGCUGUCAUGGAACGUUUUGGAAUGCAUAAACAGGAGCCCAAGCCACUCUGCUGGGAGACUUCCCUCCAGGAGUUCUGGGUGCAAGAGUGAAGGCGACUCCCCACUGGCUAGAGAGAGGUGAGGCAGCAGAGACCCAGAGGGCAGUGAAAACAGCUCUUGCACACGCUUCCGAUGGGGCAGCCCCACCACGUGACUGCGUGAGAGAAGCAGCAGCCACUGGGCUGCAGAGCCACAGGCCGUGGUCCUGCCACAACUGAGAUACUAACCACCCACCUUGGGUCAGGUCAGGAGACCUCACGGAAAGUGCCGAGCUCUUGCCACUGAGCAGUAAGGGUUAUUGGUACAGAAAACUAGGACCUAGGACCUGUUCACUGGUGGGUUAUAAGUUUAGAAGUUCAUCCAGGAUAUUCUCAAUUCUAAGGCAACGCCCAUCUACCCCACAAACUAAUCUGUAGCCAUAGAGUUCAA
rnacentral:lncRNA from 1 species